UCCGACCCGGCCGAAAGAAUUACCCGCUAAUGGUAGAUGCCACUCCUGCAAAAGUAAAACGUUGAGCUCACGUCAGUUUCGUAGAGGUCCGCGAGCCAUGGCAGUGGAGGAAUCUAUUCGCAUUCAAACAUUCAACGAAGUUCCGUCUGCGGAAGAAUUCGCCUCCCAUAUUGAACCGAAGAACGUCCCAACUGUUUUCGAAGGAUGCGUCAAGAAUUGGAAGGCGUUCUCCAAAUGGAAUCCCUCAAAUGGUGGCCUCGCUUACUUGCAGGAACUUGUUGGCUCAACCAUUGUGGAAGUAAUGCUGUCCAGAUCUGCACCAGUCUUUUACGGUGAUAUUAGAAGCCAUGAAAGGGUUCCAUUGCCAUUCUCAACCUUUAUUGGAUAUUGCAUGGAUCUUUUACAAGAUAGAGAGGAUGGAGAAGAUAACCCCCGCCACUCACAUAAGAAUAGGCUGGAAGUAUGUGGCAUUGAGCAAACUGAUUGCUGUAUUAGAGAGGCUCAGCAAAUCUAUCUAGCUCAGGUGCCAAUUCUAAAUUCUGAGAACGAGGAAGCCAUACAACUGAAGUGUUUGAGUGAAGACAUACAUAAGCCUGUGCUUUUGGGGACAAAAAGCAUGGCUUCUGUCAAUUUGUGGAUGAAUAGUGCUAAGACCAGAUCAAGCACUCACUAUGAUCCACACAAUAACCUUUUAUGCAUAGUUUCUGGAUGUAAACAAGUUUCUUUAUGGCCACCUUCUGCAAGUCCCUUCUUAUAUCCGCUGCCAUUAUAUGGAGAAGCCUCAAACCACAGUGCUGUUACGUUAGAAAACCCAAACCUGUCACUGUACCCAAGGGCAAAAUAUCUAAAUGAGUAUUCCCAGAAGGUCAUUCUUCAUGCCGGUGAUGCACUUUUCAUUCCUGAAGGAUGGUUUCACCAAGUGGAUAGUGAAAAUUUAACAAUUGCUGUUAACUUUUGGUGGCGCUCAAAGAUAAUGUCUGAUAUGUUAGAGCACAUGGAUGCAUAUUAUAUGCGAAGAAUAUUGAAAAGAUUGACUGACAAAGAAAUGAACCAAAGACUGCAUCAACCUUCUAUAACUGUGGGUAAAAUUGCAGCCACUACAAGUGGCCAGCCUUGUAUUGCACAUGGAGAUCAUACUGAUCCUACUGUUGCCUUGAGCCAUGGACAUGACAGCUUAAACAGAAAUAGACUAAAACAAAAUAUCAUGUUGCAAGAUUUGGAGCCCCUUGAACUCCAGUCUCUACAUGAACUUGUUUCUUUAGUCCACGACCAUGUCAACGAAGGACAACCUGUGGGAUGCAGCUCUAUUGAGACUGCAGGAGUUGAAACCAAUGAUCAAAUGGAUAACAGAAAGGAAGUCUUUCAUAACUGUCAAGAAGAUCCAGUAGCAAAUCUUAUUUGGACUCUUAAUCCACUUAUGCUUAGGAUUGUCUUUGUUGCCAUGGCACACAAUUUUCCAAGAACUCUGGAGGCUUUAGUAUUGCAUGCAUUAUCUCCUCUUGGAGCAGAAAUACUAACUCGUAAAUUUGAAGAGAUGGAUCAAAUUGUUGCCGAGGAAGACAGGAACCAUUUCUACCAGAUCUUUUAUGGUGUGUUUGAUGAUCAAUUUGCUGCAAUGGAUGCACUUUUAAACAGGAAAGAAGCAUUUGCGUGUCAGGCAUUCAAGAAUGUUCUGGAUCAAUAUUUGGGAGUUAAUUUGGUUGGACCUAAACCACAAGUGUGAUGAGACAUCUACUGCUGCCAAUUUCUGUAAAGAAAAUUCUGGUCCCUCCUUCAAAUUGAGUUGGAUUCAUGGAAGAAGCUCUCUUUUCUCAGUUUUUUCUUAAACACGAAAUUACUGUUUAAUGCACAGCUGGUGGCUUAACAAGUUAACAGCAAACGCGAAAGAAGACUGGUGUGAUUCCCGGUUUAACUUUAAUUCAGGUAUCAAUCAUACUAUCCUGGACACAACCUGGCUCGAGCUUAUAGUAGUUUUGAGUUGAAUUUGGUGCUUAUAAAGAAUUUCUGGUGUGAAAACGUUGGCAUAAUCUGGGUUGUCAAGAGAGAGAUCAACGUCGUUUUCAGGAAUUUUGCUUUCAUUAUUUCGAAACCUUUUUUGCUUUUCAUUUUCUUAGGUUUUGGUGCCUACGUAGUUACAACACGUACAUGGCAGGCAGUCUGUGUUUUUGAAAAUUUCUUUAAGGCUGUAGCAUGGCGACGUGCACAGAGUUUGAGAAAGGGGGAGCCAUGAACCUCAAGACAAUUUUGCCCAAACCACCUUUCAAAUGUCUCAUUGAACACUAUGAGUAAGGACAACUUUAGUCCCGCUCAACUGUUGACUUGGUAACUAUAAAGUUAUAAGUUCAACUCUUAAUAGGAACAGUCUAUUGGUCUUCUUAA